rnacentral:misc_RNA from 1 species
CAGGUGCUAGCGCUCCUCUCCUCCCUUCUUUUCACCGCUGCGUCUCUCCGCGCAGAGUCGCGUACCCACAUCUCUGUACACAUACACAACACACGCUCGCACUCCACAGGCCAAACGGUGCUGCACUCAAACAUCGCAGCAACAACAAUACAAAAGCCUUUUCAGGCGCCCCGCCUCAACGUACGGCAACGAGACCAACGGAGGAGGAGGCGUUCGACUUGCACACCACUGUUAGUGCGCACUUCAGCAACCCAUCACCAACCCCGUCGCACUCCUUAACUGGGGCUGUCUCUCCUCCUCCCCUUGCCCUCUCUAGGUUUGCUGCGGACAGGUGCAGACGCAGACACCAUACUAUCGUGAAGGCGUGCGCGCAUAGAUAUUAGAGGUACCUCUCCUCCUCUCCCUCCGCCGGCCGCGACCAGCACGCUGGAGUCGAAAGGAAGCAAACGCCAGCAACUUGCACUAGAGGAAAGUCGGCAGCCGCAAUCACCUCUCCUGUGCUGCCUCCCGCAUCCAUCUUUGUUGCUGCUGUUUGCCACUAUCCGCCACUGCACCGCCCACCACGGCCGCCGUUGCGUUGCGAGUCUGCGAACUUCAAAGGCGGUGGAGCAAACCACAGAGAGACGGAGGCGCACGUGCGCGCACGCACGCAUACGAGCUCGCACAAGCCCAGAGCGAAACGCCCUCUGCCCCCUCCCUAAACCCCUCCCUCGCGGCUCUGUGCUGUGGGCCGCGCCACUCACCGACUCUCUGCUCCGUCUCUUAGCGGGUGUGUAUUUUGUUUUCUGAAGACGGUCGGUCUCUGUCCGUGUCGGUCUGUCUGGAGUGUCCGUACGCUUGUGGGGAGUGCACGGGCGGCUGCUCUUCCAAGCUCACACAUACGCACACUCUUCUGCUUUGGUGUUGGUCUUUCUCUUCCCCUCCUACUCUUUAACUGGUGUCUGUGUCUGUGCCUGUGCCUGUGGGCAUUCGUUACCGUGGUAGUGCUGCCACUGCUUUAUCGUCAUCUCUUCACGUUUCGCCCUCACACCUUUCUCUCUAGUGCUUGGGUUUCGGGUGGAGAGAGGGGGGUGGCGCGUGCCUGUACACUACGUUGAAGGGCGCUCGACCGCCGUGUCUCCGCCCCGUCACUGUCACGCUCUUCGUGCUGUAUUGCGUUGUGCGCCUCGUCGCUGCUGGUUUGGUUCGGUUGUUUUUUUUUUGGUUCAUUGCCAUUCUUUUCUUGCUUUCACCAUAUCUCCUUCACUCCCCCCCCUCCUGCCCUCUGCCCUCGUUAUUAUCGCCUCUGGCCCGCUGCAAG